AGCGCAGGCGGCCAAGUCAGUCUGAAGUGAAAGCCCGGGGCUUAACCCCGGAAUAGCUUUGGAUACUGCCUGGCUUGAGUGUGCGAUAGGAAAGCGGAAUUCCAGGUGUAGCGGUGAAAUGCGUAGAUAUCUGGAGGAACACCGGUGGCGAAAGCGGCUUUCUGGCGCAUAACUGACGCUGAGGCUCGAAAGCGUGGGGAGCGAACG
rnacentral:rRNA from 1 species